UCUCCAAACACAUUUGAUAUAAAAAAAAAGUUCCUUUUGACUACUCCCACACAAAUGUGUUACUCUGUGUCUUCAAUCCUUUAGCUGGCUGUCUUCUGAUAUUUUCUCAGUGUCAGCUCCAUUCUCUUAUCUCUUUUGUCUAUUUUGUUCUUUUUUCUCUUGUCGCUUUCGUUGCUUUACUCAAUAGCUUAUUUUUGUUCCUCCCAACUUACUUGACUCUAUUUUUUCCUCCAGUUAUCAGCCCUCCUCCCUACAAAUCUUCUAUCUUUCCACCCAGCUGGCAGGUUAGAGUCUGGGCACUAUGAAGUUCAACCAGUAAUUAAUUCUCAUGCAGAGAAAUCUGCAGUUAAACUGUAAGCAUGCUCAGCUAUUGCCGCAACUCUUAUAGUGAAGAAUUGAGAGCCGUGCACAUUCACAGUUACAUAUCCAUUCAUUUUCAUCUGAAGGCAGUGGCUAGUGGUUAUUCUACAGAUGGUGGGACCCCCAUUCUAGAGGCAGAUAUCAGUUCCAGAGAUUUCCCUACAGAAUACAACUGAAUAUUGAGUUCCCAGCAAAAGAGCAAUUCAUGGCCAGCUUCUUACCAAGACUCUUCCAACAUGAAGUGCUUGCGGCCGGAGCGCAGAGUGUAACAUUUAGUUGUACCCCAAAAUUGUAAAGUUCUGUGGAAUCUACUGGCACUAUGUAAAUAAAAUGAAUAUUAUUACUGACCAUGACAAAGCGCCA